GCUGUGGGUCCCACUUAUGGGGCUCUGGUUGUGGGGUCCCAACCUGUGCCCCCACCCCACAGAGUCCCCGUGUUGGUGGCCGCGGUGCUGCUGCUGCUCCUGGCCAACGCUGAGGCCGAUGAGUCGAGCAGUGCAGCGCUGCACGCGGUGACCGCAGAGGGGCAGAGCUCAGAGCCCAGUGGCCCCGCAAAGCUGGAGGCGUCCGGAGAGAGUGACCUCAGCACCUCAGGGCAGCGCGUGGCCACAGGUGUCACCGCCGUCAGCUUUGAGCCCCCGGAUCCGCCCGGUGGUGACUCUUCAUCUUCAUCUUCAUCAUCAUCAUCAUCGUCAGCCAUGGACGGG